rnacentral:misc_RNA from 1 species
UACGAAUCGUGCGAACGUUGUUCGGAAUCACUGGGCUUAAAGGGCGCGUAGGCGGGCAGUCAAGUCCGAGGCUGAAAUCCCCCAGCUCAACUGGGGAAUUGGCCCGGAUACUGGUUGCCUCGAGGGAGAUAGGGGCGUGCGGAACGUUUGGUGGAGCGGUGAAAUGCGUUGAUAUCAAACGGAACUCCGGUGGCGAAGGCGGCACGCUGGAUCUCUUCUGACGCUGAGGCGCGAAAGCUAGGGUAGCGAACGGG